CGCGUAUGCAACCAACCCCCCGACGGGCGGAUAGCCGGUGGAAACGCCGGAUAAUACGCCAUGGUUCCGUGUGAGGGCAUCCUCACAUGGAUAAAGCCGAGAGGCGGUCGGGGACGGGCAUGCGUCCCAUUAGGUAGUCGGCGGGGUGACGGCCCACCGAGCCCGUGAUGGGUAGGGGAUCUGAGAGGACGGUCCCCCACACUGGUACUGAGACACGGACCAGACUCCUGCGGGAGGCAGCAGGUAAGGGAUAUUGGUCAAUGGGUCGGAAGACUGAACCAGCCAAUGCCGCGUGAGGGAAUGAGGCCCGUACGGGUCGUGAACCUUCUUUUUAUUCGGGGACAAGGACUUCCACGUGAUGGGAGUUUGAGGGUAACCGAAGGAAUAAGCGUCGGCUAACUCCGUGCCAGCCGCCGC
rnacentral:rRNA from 1 species